rnacentral:tRNA from 1 species
GGGAAUAUGGCUCAGUUGGUAGAGCAAAUGACUGUUAAUCAUUGGGUCGCAGGUUCGAGUCCUGCUAUUCCCGCCA